CUCAAAUCAGUCAACUCUAGGCUCUUUCUCGUCAGAUCUCACCAAGUAUAAAUAAAAAUUCCAAUACUUAACCCAGUCUUAUAAUCUCACCUGGAGUAACUUAAAUGUCAUCCUUACUUCUACUCUCAUCCCUAAAGAUGCUUAAUAUGCAUUUUAUCACCCAAUCAGCCCCUGACAUUACAAAAAAGCUACAGAAAUUAGAAUCUGGCCCUCAAACCCCAUAACAUGAAUUAAUCAACUUCACCUUCAAGGUGUUCACUAAUAGGGAAAAAGCUGCCUGGCAGCAGCACGUCUCAUAACUUCAGAUACCUCUGUCAUAAGGCAAACCCCAGCCACACCACUGGCUCACAAAGACUUCAAAGCACCCAGACUGCAGCAUCCAGUCACCCCUCCCGGACCUUGCUUCAAGUGUUAGAAACCUGGCCACUGGGCCAAGAAAUGCCCACGGCCUGGGAUUUCUUCUAAACCCUGCGCUGUCUUUGCAGGGCCUCCAUUAAAAGUCAGACUGCCCAACUCACGUCACUGCUCCCAGAGUUACUGGAGCUCCCAGACCAAAUUCUUCCCAGUCUCCUCAGCUUGGUGGCUGAAGACUGAUGCUGCCUGAACAUCUUGGAGGGCCCCUGGACCAUCAUGGACACUGAACUUCAGGUACCUCUUAUGGUGGAAGAUGAAAUCUCGCUCUGUCGCCCAGACAGGAGUGCAGUGGUGCCACUGAUCUCUGCUCACUGCAAUCUCUGCCUCUCAGGUUCAAGCAAUUCCCCUGCCUUAGCCUCCCAAGUAGCUGGACUGCAGGCAUGUGUCACCAUGCCUGGCUAAUUUUUUUGUAUUUCUUAAUAGAGAUGGGGUUUCUGUAUGUUAGCCAGGAUGGUCUCUAUCUCCUGACCUUGUGAUCUGCCUCCUAAAGUGCUCGGAUUACAAGCAUGAUCCGCUGCGCCAGACCUCAAAUGUAAAAUAUUAGAAGAUUUGUAGGUUCUCCAAAUACCUGAUUGCAUGUUAGUUAAUAUUUCUUCCCAAGGAGAAAGCAAUAUCUAAUUUGAAAUAUAAGUUGUAAUAAAUUAGAGUCUACUUUAUAAAACUGCUUCGAA
rnacentral:lncRNA from 13 species